AAGUUCUUAUCUACAUGACUUGUGUGUAGGACUUAUUUGAUUGUUACACCUUAAAUGGAAUGACUGUUUCAUAAAACAUGGCCAGAAAGCAGGUGCUCUUGAAGUAAAUGAUUUCUCAACAACCUCAGUGUGAAGUGGAACAGAAAGGAGUGUUUGUUGAAUCUGUGCCAUGUGACGGACACUGUACUAACUGUUUGACAUUUCAUUUCUAUGUAUAGGGGCCCUUGCAGGGGUGUUCCUUUGCGAGGGGGAUGAGGGAAAGAAAGGGAAGAGGCUCAGAUGAUUUCACCUGCUGGGCUGCUACAGAGAUCAGUCUGGUCGUCCAGUACACCAGUCAGAAGGUGGAGAUCUUGUUCAUGUUUCUGGUACAAUUUUUCCCUCUAGCUUGACUGCCUUGUUUCUAGAAUAUCUGCUAGGGUACUUCUUAACUGUAUAUUUUAUAUUUCCUCCUUUUGAACUUUGUCCUUCAGCCUCCGUUGGUGUUUACAGUGCUUGCUAUCACUUGGUUGCAAAUGGUACUUUGUUUGCAGAUCAUAUUUAUGCAGUGUGUUUUAGUUCCAAUUUUUUUUAACUUAAAAACUUCAGAUAAUCCAAGGACAGUGCACUUGUUAUGCAGAGUUCCAGUCAAUAAAAUUUAAGUAGGAACUAUUUAUAACUAUAAAGACCUUGGGAGGACCAUUCGUCUCUUAAGUUCCUUAGUGAAAUAAGCUGUAAACCUGUAAAACUCAUCCCCCAAGACUAAACACUAGUUCAGCAGGAUGUGGGUUUUGCAGUCAGUGUAGUUAGGUGACUUUGUGGUCAAUUCUGGUUGCACAGAAGUCAAGGCCGCUCCAGGUUGAUCACAUCAUUAGAUCAGCUGCAGAAGUAUCUCAUGGCCUAGAUUUUAGGUGAUACCGAUGGAAUCAUAUGAUAUUUGUCUUUUUUGUGUCUGGCUUAUUUAUUUCACUUAGCAUAAACUUUUCAAGGUUUAUCCAUAUUGUGGCAUAUAUCAGAAUUUCACCCCAUUGUAUGGAUAUACCACAUUUUGUUUCCAUUCAUCUGUUGAUAGACUCUUGGGUCAUUUCUACCUUUUGGCUGUUGUGAAUGAUUCUUCAGUGAACCUUCAUUUACAAAUUGUUUGGGUCCCUGCUUUCAUUUAUUUGGGUGUAUGUAUAGGGAUGGAAUUGCUGGACAAUAUGGUAAUUUUACGUUUAACUCUUUGAGGUAGGAUUGGGUUUCAGUUGCGUUAAUUUCAAAGACUCAGAGUAAAAUGCCAUCUCACUGGAAAUCAAGCUGUGGGGUCAAUGUUUGUUAACAGACCUAUAAGUGAUCCCUCGAUAUCUCACUUAGGCCUUUUACUCUCUAACCUAGAAUAUUUAUUGAGUACAGACUAUGUCCUAUGCCCCAUUUUGGAAUAGAGACCAGAGAGAGAGUCUCCUAAUCCAGUGUAGGAUACAGACAGUUACUUCACAGUAUGCAAGUGCUAUCAUAAAGGAGAGCACUAUUGGGGCGCCUGAGUGACUCAGUUGGUUGAGCAUCCGACUUCAGCUCAGGUCAUGAUCUCACGGCUUGUGAGUUCAAGCCCUGCAUCGGGGUCUGUGCUGACAGCUCAGAGCCUGGAGCCUGCUUCAGAUUAUGUCUCUGUCUCUACCCCUCCCCCACUCAUGCUCUGUGUCUCUCUCAAGAAUAAAUAAACAUUAAAAAACAAAACAAAAAGGAGAGCGCUAUUAUGAGGGAGCCCAGAGAGAAGAGGAGUUGUGAAAUCUUUCCCAAAAGACUGAAGAUUCCCGACUAAAUCUUGAAGAAGGAGUAGGAGCUAGCUGGUUGAAGAAGGGGGGGUAAAAUUUCAGAGAAUUUCAGAGUAUGUCAUGUGCAAAGGCCCAGAGAGAUGAAAGCAUUGAGACAUUGAGAAAAUUAGAAUGGGUUAGUGAACUGAAAUACAGGAUGUUAGGGAAGGAGAUAUAGCAAGAUGGUGGUAGAGGAGGCGGCAAAGGGUAGAUCAGUAAAGUCUUUGUAAGUCAUAUGGAAGAUUCGGGUUUUAUUCUGAAAGUAAUACAGAGAUAGUGAAGGAUUUUUUUGUAAAGAAGUGAUGUAAUAAAAAACAUGUUCUGAGGGUACCUGGGUGGUUCACUCAGUUAAGCGUCCAACUCUUGAUUUUGGCUCAGGUCAUGAUCUCACCAUUGGUGAGAUCGAGCCUCACAUCAGGCUCUCUGCUGAGAGCUUGGGGACUGCUUGAGAUUCUCUCUCCCUCUCUAUCCCUUCCCCCACUCGUGUGUGUGUUCUCUCUCUCAAAUAAACAUUAAGUAUAUAUAUACAUAUAUAUAUACAUAUUUAACAUUUAUAUAUGUUCUGUAAGUCUAGGCAGUUAGGCAAAUCCCAACAUUCUCUCAUGAAAGGCUGCAGUAUGGCAGUAACAAUGGAAAUGGAGAAGAUGGAAUGGAUUCAGAGGGCAUUUAGGAGGUAGAAUCAGUAGGACUUCUUGCCUAAUGUAGAUGGCAAGGAAAAGCAAAGAAUGCAGGAUGAUUGCUAGAUCUCUUGAGUUGACCAGCCUCAUUUACUGAGAGUAAAUUCAAGAUGUGGAGGGGUUUAGUUUGGGUGGAGGCAAGGAGGCAAGACAAAGCAAGAUGAAUGAUGAGUUAAUUUUGUUUUGAGUUUAAGGUGCCAAUGGACUAGCCAGAUGGAGAUGUGAGUCUGGAUGGAGCUUAGAAGAAAUAUAUGAACUGGAGAUCGAUGCUUGGGAGCUGUCAGCAUACGUAAUGGUAACUGAGGGCGUGAGAAAUGAGAACACAAUAUAGAAGUGUCACUUCGGGGCAGGUGCAGCACAAAAGCUUGGGAAAGAGACAAGCAAUGGCCAGGAGGGGUGAGUGGAUACACAAAGAGUAGGGACUCAUGGAAGCCUAGAGGAGAGUUUCAAAAAGUCAGAUUUCACACAAAAACAAAGCAACUCAUGUCUUAAGGCAUUGAUAUUCAAACUGUGUUGAAACCCUUUGUUAACAUUUAACUUUUAAAUAUAUUUUAACUGAAAAAAAGUAAAAACUGACCAACUCAAAUAUGUCGCUUAUAACAUGUUAAAACAUGGAAAUCCAGCAGACGUCAGUACCAGGUUAACUGUUUUUGUGCAGAGGCCACAGUAAGGCCAUCUCGAUACAUUGAAGAGCAUCUUUAUAUUUCAAGGUGAGUUAUUAAAUAACUCCAUUUCCUAGUGUGAAUUAGGACUUUUUUGAUACUUUGCAACUGAAACAAAUACAGAAAUAGGGUCUACUAAGCUCACGUCACUGUUCCAUAAACCCAGUCUCAAAUGCUUGUUGUUUAUGAAAAUAAUUUCACCUUUCUUACUGACUUAUUGAUUAAAUUAAAUGUCAUGCAGCACCUUUUCUGUUAUUGUGUUGGUUUUCCAUGUAGCUGUCGUUUCCAAAAGGUGGUUGCGAUAGAGGGCCACAGAUAAAAGGAGGUAGACACUUUCCUAGUAGAACUUGGCUUAUUUUUCUGUGACUCCCUUGCCUCUCCUCAAAGUCAAGUUCUAGGGGCUGAAAUGUAUUUCCUGCAUCUUGUUUAACGUAUUAUUUGGAUGCUUAACUCAUUACUAGGAACAGGUGAUUUUGUGUUUACAUUGCUUUGGGAAGUUUAGAGAGUUAAUACUUAUGUUAUCUUAAAUGACCUUUAUUCUUUUUUUUCAUACUGAUUCGUAAGUAACUGUAUACAGAUUAUUUCCGGUAGACACGAUCUUAAACAAUGACAACAACAACACUCUGUGUAUUUGGUUUCAGACUGUGGUAUGGUGUUUGACUUUUAUUUCUGGUUUAAGUUAAAAUUAGCUUGAAUUCCUUGACUAGACACAGCUUGCACUACCUGGGCAACAAAUGAGCAUGUUAGACAUUCCAGGAAGAAAAGAGGAGCUACUGUUUUUCACAUACGGCUCCAAGUGAUCCAUAAGAUUUGCAAAUCAUUUGUGCAUUGUGAAAUAAAUUCUAACUUUUAAACCAUUUUUGUUCAUAUUUUUCUAUUUACUGAUUAAUCUUGGUCCCCUUUAGCAGAACGCUUAUUUUAGAGUAUACUCUGCAUUGAAAUCCCAUGGUAUAUUUCAAGGUAUAAAGCAUAAAACUUCAUGGUCUGUGGCACAUGGCCAUCUCACAACAGUCAACGACAGAUUUUCACAACAAUGUCAUGACCUAAAUGUUACUGUUCUCCCCACUUUGUAGAUUUUACAGAGCCUGAGAUUCUGCAACAUUAAGUGAUUGGCCAAGUCCAGAGGCCACCAAGGAGUAGAAUACAGGCCCUGUACCUGCUAACCCUGUACCCAUCCCACUCCAUCACGCCCAAACUAUGAACUGCAGACCUUUUUUAAAACGACAGGUAAGAGCAAACAAAAACUGGAAAUGAUGCCAGAAGAGGAACUGAAUAUGAGAGAGACUCAAGAGAUUCCCCAGAAUAGAAGUUGCAGAAUUUGGCAGAAUGAUUAGGGUGGACACUUCAGGAAGAAGACUUCGGGUUGUUAGAGAGAAGCUCCCCCACCCCCUAAGCUGAAGAAGAAGCAUCCACACGCCCUGCUUCCACCUGGGGACUCCCAGAUUGCCACACAAUAGCACCUCCUAGAGGUGUCGGCAGUGGUGAGACCCGCCCUUCCCAGAGAGACUGUUUUCUGUGCCACUUUGUCUUGCCCUGGUGGUCACGCUGUGUUGUGGCUGCAGCGAAAACCUUUUGUGUGUCAGACAUGAUGGGCAGCGUGGACAAGUCACACUGGUGCCCAACACCUCCCACCACUGAGCACUGUGAGGGCAGAGACUUGGUCGUCUUUGCAACCUAUCUCUACCCCCUCACGUUGAGGAUACCUGUAUACCCACAAGGACAUACCAUCAGCGUGUGGUAAAUCUUGCUGAAUGACAGACAAAGUGACAUGUUGAGCAAGCAGAUGAUGAAAGUUUCUGACCUUAAAUGUGGACUAAUCAGAUAAGUGUACUAGUGAUACAAGAAAUCACGGAAGACUCUGUGGGAGAAGAACUGAAACUUCUUCUAGAAAAUCCAUUAAUGACCAGAAUAGAUCUCUGGCUUUUUUCAUGUGCGUUAGAUAACAACCAUGGAGAAUUGAGAUUCCUCCAUUGUGGCUUCUGCCUUUCCUGCUCCACCAAAAUCGCUCUCUCCAAGCUAACCAGGAACCUCCAGCUUGCCACACCGGGGGGCAUUUCUGCCUCUUCUUACUGGCACGCUCCUCACAGGACCAGCUAAGCAUCCUUCUCUUGUACAUGAAAGAAAAUCCAACUGAUUGUAGCAAGAAGAGUAAGUUUCUUGUACUAUUUUUCAUUUUUAAAAGACUAUUUUUUUUUCAUGGUUAUUUAUUUUGAGACAGAGAGAAAGCAUGAGCAGAAGACAGGCAGAGAGAGAGAGAGGGAGA